AACCCCAUGUACUUAGCAGGCACACGCCUUAACCACUCGGCCAAAGCGACGAUGUUGAUUAUGAUUCGAAAGUUCUUAUUAUCAUUAUUAUCAUGUAAUUUAUCUAUUAAAUAUGGGACUUUCAUAAGGAUGCAUUCAACUAUUUUUAGUAGUAGGCCUGCAAGUAUCAGCUUCUUCUCAUGUAAUUUUUAUUUUUUUUAUUAAGUUUAGUGCACACAUAAAAUAAAAC
rnacentral:lncRNA from 1 species